rnacentral:lncRNA from 1 species
GGUGGAACCGGGCCCCUCCAUGGGCCUGGGGUGGUGGCACUGGAUGGGGCUGCCUGUGAGCUCAGCUAUGGACUCUGGGGCUUGGUUUCUCUGCCAGACGAUCCCCCAGCCUUCCCCUUUCACCCUGGAGCCAAACCCUCCCCCUGCAGGAAUGUUUUUCGUAGGGGGGGAGGUUGGCGCAGCUCCAGCUGCUGCAUUUUUCCAUGCCCAGAGACUGUCUCCUGCCUUAAAUGGCCCCAUAACAUGGGCAGCGUCUGCUCUCCUGCAGUCACCUAUUUAAGGGUUUUUUGGAUCCAGACCCCAGCACGGAGUGGGAUGACACCAGCCCAGCACCCCGCAGCUGGGCUGAGCCCUGUGAGGGGCUGCUGGGGCAUGUGGGGCUGGUUGCCCUGUGGUCCCCCCGCAGCAAUAUGCCAUGGGAGAGGCCAGUGCUGCUCCAGCUCUCCAAGCAUCUCCCUUCCCUGUGUGCAGGUCAGAUUUCCUAUAUCCAGGUCCACAUCCUGGUUUUACAGGGACCUGGGCCACGUGGCAGCGUGUGAGCCAGCAGCAGCAUCCCCUGCACAGAGACACCCUUGCUGUGGGCAGCCUGUGCCACCAAGAGAUGCUCCUGGGCUCCUCCAGGCACAGUUCCUGCCCAUGGCCUUGAACCAGCUGCCCCUGAGCCCUCCUGCCCUCCAUAGCAUCUUCCACCACCCAGGAAGCCUCCCUGCAAGCUCAGGCAGGUCACUUUCAAAGCACAACCUGCCUUGUGGAGUGGAACCUGCUCCAGGGUGCCAGCCAGGACCUUGCUUGAGACCCCAUGGUGGCAAUUCCUGGGUGAAUGGCCUUCCCAGGACUGAGAGGACUUCAAUGCUGCAUGGCCUCAGCCUGGAAACACAGCAGCUUCGUGGGAGAUAUUCACCACAGGCGCCCUUCCUGCCCUCUUCCCAUGAACAUCUACCUGAAGCCCCCAAGCAGGAGCCCGCGUGCUUGGGAAGAGUGCUGCAAUAUCAAGUCGAGCUGUCAGAGGCUGUUUGGACUUUCCCCGCCCCAUCAACUUCCCCUGGAUGGCAAGAGCAGCAGCUCCUGGGCUGCCACCUGCACACCACGCUUAGCGUUGACUUCUCCACAGGGCAGUGGCCUCUGCACCGUGGGCACGGCAUCAAGCCAAGAUGCUGCUGAAGGUCGUUCCUUGAAUGCCUGCCAGCUGGACUAGGGGAAGCUGGUUUUGAGCCACUAAAGAAGGAGCUCAGAGCCAGGCAGAAGAAAUCUCUCUCCAGACCUGGCUGUGACUCCCCGAGAGCCACGUGAGGAGUCUGAACCUGCUGCAGGUGGUCCCGGCCCCAGCUCUGUCCGUGCUUUUGGGAGCCACGGGACUGCCCCACCAUCUAUCCGUGCCAGAUUUCAAGGCUCUUUCAGGCGGGAGAAGGGCUGGCUGGCUGGAGAUCAGAGCAGUCGCUCUCCUACACUAGGUCACACAGCCCCUGCCAAGUGUCACUGUGUGCCAUCGUCCCUGCCCUGCCUGCCAAGAGGAGAGCUGCCCGCCGCUCCUCGGCGCCGUCACACACCACCGCGCUGGCCCACGUUAAGUCAACCUAAUGGGGCUCUGCACAGAGCAAGCGUUUCAGUGACCCGGCCUGUGGGCACCCACGGUCUGAUCGGCUGGUUGCUGUGACCGUGGCAGCAGCCUGGUGUGGUGUCCCACGUGUUUUUGGGAGCAAGAAUUGGCAUCUGUUGAGGGGGAUGUCUGGGACCCAUGUUUGUCCCUGUGGGACAGAACGGCAGCCCCACCAUCAGAGGCGUGACACGAGCAGCAUCUCCGGUUCAAACUCCUCUGAUGGCUUCUGCUGCCUCGGUCCAGGGGUGCAACCUUGCAGCAACCCUCCCCCAAAAUCCAGUAUCAUAGAGAGAGUUUAUUGAGUGAUGAAGGAGCAAUUACCAGCUCAGCUGGAGGCAGAGUUGCUCCUGUUUGGUUUUGCAAGAAGAAAGACUCCCACCUCUUUUUAUUUUUUUUUUUUUGUUCCCUGUGUUCCUUCUCGGGGGGAGCUGCAAAAUAAAAAAAAAGAAAUUCAGAAUUUAAAAAAAAAA